CUAAAGACAAUGAAAGAGCCAAGUAGCAUAGUGAGUCUGUAUAGGGAGAAGUGGUCAUAGACUGAAAGCCACUUUACAAACGAAUUUGUGAACAUUUCACCUCUGGAGUCGCCCCCCGAGAAGCACUUUAUGUGUGAAGGUGGUCCGGUUACUAAGCCGUUAUCGAAUUUUGAGUGGGAACAAUUUUUUGUUCUUAUUAGGGUGGUACCGCGAGAAGUCUCGUCCCUUUG
rnacentral:ncRNA from 1 species